AAACUAGAGAGUUUGAUCCUGGCUCAGAACGAACGCUGGCGGCGUGCCUAACACAUGCAAGUCGGACGAGAAAGCCCUCUUCGGAGGGUGAGUAAAGUGGCGCACGGGUGAGUAACACGUAGACAACCUGCCUUGCAGUCUGGGACAACCUUUCGAAAGAAGGGCUAAUACCGGAUAACAUCCCGCCCCGCAUGAGGUGGGAUUGAAAGAUUUAUCGCUGCAAGAGGGGUCUGUGGGACAUUAGCUUGUUGGUGAGGUAACGGCUCACCAAGGCUGCGAUGUCUAGCGGGUCUGAGAGGAUGAUCCGCCACACUGGAACUGAGACACGGUCCAGACUCCUACGGGAGGCAGCAGUGGGGAAUUUUGCGCAAUGGG
rnacentral:rRNA from 1 species